GCAUUGGUGGUUCAGUGGUAGAAUUCUCACCUUCCAUGCGAGAGAUCUGGGUUUGAUUUCCAGCCAAAGUA
rnacentral:tRNA from 1 species